AUACUUACCUGGCAGGGGAGAUGCCUUGUUCAUGAAGGAGGUUUUCCCAUGGUGAGGUUUAGCCAUUGCACUCCAGCUGUGCUAAUCCCUGCAAUUUCCCCAAAUGCAGGAAAUUCGACUGCAUAAUUUGUGAUAAUGAGGAACUGAAUUCAUGCUUUCCCUUG
rnacentral:snRNA from 1 species